AAUUUAUGACUGGUAUGGCUAGCGUGUUUAUCCCUAUUAUCUUAGUUUUAGCAUUAAGUUCAUUGUUUAAUAUUAGUCAGACUCUUCUUUAAUAGUCUCCAUAUUU